GACGAACGCUGGCGGCGUGCCUAACACAUGCAAGUCGAACGGAGAUUUCAGCAAUGAAAUCUUAGUGGCGAACGGGUGAGUAACGCGUAGACAACCUGCCUUUUAGAUGGGGACAACACCGCGAAAGUGGUGCUAAUACCGAAUGUUGUAUUUUAAUCGCAUGAUUGAGAUACUAAAGAUGGCCUCUGUAUAUGCUAUCGCUAAAAGAUGGGUCUGCGUCUGAUUAGCUAGUUGGUGAGGUAAUGGCUCACCAAGGCGACGAGCAGUAGCCGGUCUGAGAGGAUGAACGGCCACACUGGGACUGAGACACGGCCCAGACUCCUACGGGAGGCAGCAGUGGGGAAUCUUCCGCAAUGGACGAAAGUCUGACGGAGCAACGCCGCGUGAGUGAAGAAGGUUUUCGGAUCGUAAAACUCUGUUUUCAGGGACGAAUGUGCAGCUUGUAAAUAAUGAGUUGUAAUGACGGUACCUGAGUAGAAAGCCACGGCUAACUACGCGCCAGCCGCCGCGGUAA
rnacentral:rRNA from 1 species